UGUAAACAAGAGCAGGGCAUGUAAAAUAAUAGAGACAGAGACUUUCUGAGGUGUGGUUUAAGUAUGAAAGGUAUGUUAGGAUUAUGCAGGGUUAUUCUUCCACUUUGGGGAUAUGGGUGAGUUUAAGAGAAGUGGGGAAGAGUACUUUUGGCUUCCAGGAGGAGGCAGAGGAGUUAGGCCAA